AUACGGAGGAUGCAAGCGUUAUCCGGAUUUAUUGGGUUUAAAGGGUGCGUAGGCGGAUGAUUAAGCGUGAGGUGAAAUGCCACGGCUCAACCGUGGAACUGCCUCGCGAACUGGUUGUCUGGAAUGCCCCUGCCGUGGGAGGAAUGUGUGGUGUAGCGGUGAAAUGCAUAGAGAUCACGCAGAACACCGAUUGCGAAGGCAUCUCACGAAGGGGUGAUUGACGCUGAGGCACGAAAGCGUUGGGAUCAAACAGGAUUAGAUACCCUGGUAGUCCACGCAGUAAACGAUGAUAACUAACCGCUGGGCCUUUGGGUUCAGUGGCCAAGCGAAAGCGAUAAGUCAUCCACCUGGGGAGUACGACCGCAAGGUUGAAACUCAAAGGAAUUGACGGGG
rnacentral:rRNA from 1 species